UACGAGGGGGGCAAGCGUUGUUCGGAAUUACUGGGCGUAAAGGGCGCGUAGGCGGCGCCACAAGUCACUUGUGAAGUCUCCGGGCUCAACUCAGAGCCUGCAAGCGAAACUGUGGUGCUGGAGUAUGGGAGAGGUGCGUGGAAUUCCCGGUGUAGCGGUGAAAUGCGUAGAUAUGGGGAGGAACACCUGUGGCGAAGGCGGCGCACUGGACCAUAACUGACGCUGAGGCGCGAAAGCUAGGGGAGCAAACAGG
rnacentral:rRNA from 1 species